rnacentral:tRNA from 2 species
GAGGACGUAGCUCAGCUGGUAGAGCAGCGGACUUUUAAUCCGUAGGUCCGGGGUUCGAUCCCCCGCGUCCUCA